rnacentral:rRNA from 1 species
AGAGUUUGAUCCUGGCUCAGGAUGAACGCUGGCGGCGUGCCUAAUACAUGCAAGUCGAACGAGAACCUCGUUUUCGGAUGAGGGGAAAGUGGCGCCCGGGUGAGUAACACGUAACUGAUCUACCCUUUGCAGGGGGAUAACAUCGAGAAAUCGGUGCUAAUACCGCGUAAGCUUCAAGGCAUUAGAAAACUUGAAGGAGAGCUACGGCGGCGAAGGAGGAGGUUGCGGUCCAUCAGCUAGUUGGAGUGGUAAAAGCACCCCAAGGCGAUGACGGAUAGGGGACCUGAGAGGGUGACCCCCCACACUGGUACUGACACACGGACCAGACUCCUACGGGAGGCAGCAGUAAGGAAUAUUGCGCAAUGGGCGAAAGCCUGACGCAGCAACGCCGCGUGCGGGAUGAAGGUCUUCGGAUCGUAAACCGCUUUUCUGAGGGAAGAGUAAGGACGGUACCUCAGGAAUAAGUCUCGGCUAACUACGUGCCAGCAGCCGCGGUAAAACGUAGGAGGCGAGCGUUAUCCGGAUUUACUGGGCGUAAAGCGCGUGCAGGCGGUUAUGUAAGUCGUGCGUGAAAGCUCCCUGGCUCAACCGGGAGAGGUCGUGCGAUACUGCGUAACUAGAGGCAGACAGAGGCAAGUGGAAUUCCAGGUGUAGUGGUGAAAUGCGUAGAUAUCUGGAGGAACAUCAGUGGCGAAGGCGGCUUGCUGGGUCUGCUCUGACGCUCAGACGCGAAAGCAUGGGUAGCGAACGGGAUUAGAAACCCCGGUAGUCCAUGCCGUAAACGAUGUCUACUAGGCGUUGGAAGAUGAGAUUUCAGUGCCGAAGCAAACGCGAUAAGUAGACCGCCUGGGGACUACGGCCGCAAGGCUAAAACUCAAAGGAAUUGACGGGGGCCCGCACAAGCAGCGGAGCGUGUGGUUUAAUUCGAGGCUACACGAAGAACCUUACCUAGGCUUGACAUGUCCACGAACGACACCGAAAGGUGAAGGGUCGCAAGACGUGGUCACAGGUGCUGCAUGGCUGUCGUCAGCUCGUGUCGUGAGAUGUUCGGUUAAGUCCGGUAACGAGCGCAACCCUCGGGUCUAGUUACAAGUGUCUAGUCCGACUGCCCGGUUCAACUGGGAGGAAGGUGGGGAUGACGUCAAGUCAGCAUGGCCUUUAUGUCUAGGGCUACACACACGCUACAAUGGCCGGUACAAUAGGUUGCCAACCCGCAAGGGGGAGCCAAUCCAAGAAAGCCGGUCUCAGUUCGGAUUGUAGGCUGCAACUCGCCUGCAUGAAGUUGGAGUUGCUAGUAAACGCAGGUCAGCUAUACUGCGUUGAAUACGUUCCCGGGCCUUGUACACACCGCCCGUCACGUCAUGGAAGCUGGUCACGCCUGAAGUCGGUGGGCUAACUGCAAAGAGGCAACCGCCAAAGGCAGGGCUGGUGACUGGGACGAAGUCGUAACAAGGUA